rnacentral:lncRNA from 1 species
UCAUCCAGUUGCAGCAAAUCUGCACUCUCUCCCUCCCCUUAUCUUCAUCCAACAUCUUUCUCUCUUUAUUUCUCCCGAUCCACUCUCUCCUCCUUAUCUCUUCACUGCCUCUCUCUCUUCCCCUUUCCCCCGCAGCCUUCUUGAUUCAGUUGCAGUAAAUCUGCACUCUCUCCCUUUCCUCAGCAAAUCUGCACUCUCAGCCACUGUCGUUGCUGUGUUUCCGCCAUAGCCGCCGCUACUCUGUUUCCGCUGCUGCUCUGCUCCGCUGCUGCUCGUCUUCGCUGCUGCUCUGUUUUCGCUGCUGUUCUGCUCAGCCGUUGCUGCUCGUCUUCACGCCAGCUGCUGUUGCUCUCCCGGAUCUGUCACUAGCCAGUAUUUAUUUUGUUUAUGAGCUGAAAUUUUUUAGAGAUGAUUUGAGUGAUUUUUAAUUCUGGAAAUUUCUGAGGUUGUUCAUAUGUAGUGACAAAUUGUUUAUUUAUGUGCUGAAAUUUUUCCUCAUUUAUUUUAGAGAUUAAAAGCGUGGCUGCCACGGCUCUGUGAGACCUUGCGUGUUACGCCACGGUUCUGGGGAAAGUGUGGCUGUCAUGGCUCCGUGAGAUCUUGCGUGUUACGUCGCGGUUCUGGGGAAAGCGUGGCUGUUGUGCCUAGAUUCUCGUGCUGGAGAGCACGUCUUGCCAACUGCCGUCGACCGGGUCUCCUCGCCUCUCGAUCUCUAGCCGGAAUGGCCUCGUGCCUUUUAUAGGAAUUGGCCUCGCGGACGACAACAUCGUGGACGAGCAGGAUGUUUCUGCUCCUGUUCUUCCACGCGCCAGGCUUUAACGGAAAACACCGGUUCGCAGAACUCCGCCAUCAGAUGUCUGCUCGUCGUUCCUGGUCCCUUCGACGCAUUUGUCCCAAACAGUAUCCCUCCCAAACAUCCUCCUUAUCUCUUCACUGCCUCUCUCUCUUCCCCUUUCCCCCGCAGCCUUCUUGAUUCAGUUGCAGUAAAUCUGCACUCUCUCCCUUUCCUCAGAAAAUCUGCACUCUCAGCCACUGUCGUUGCUGUGUUUCCGCCAUAGCCGC